UACGUAGGGGGCAAGCGGUUGUCCGGAUUUACUGGGCGUAAAGAGCGUGUAGGCGGCCAAGCAGGUCCGUUGUGAAAACUGGAGGCUUAACCUCCAGACGUCGACGGAAACCGCGUGGCUAGAGUCCGGAAGAGGAGAGUGGAAUUCCUGAUGUAGCGGUGAAAUGCGCAGAUAUCAGGAAGAACACCAAUGGCGAAGGCAGCUCUCUGGGACGGUACUGGACGCUGAGACGCGAAAGCGUGGGGAGCGAACAGG
rnacentral:rRNA from 1 species